rnacentral:tRNA from 1 species
GAGGGUAUAGUUCAGUGGCAGAGCACAUGCUUAGCAUACGUGAGGACUUAGGUUCAAUCCCCAGUACCUCCA